CCAACGACUCUCGGCAACGGAUAUCUCGGCUCUCGCAUCGAUGAAGAACGUAGCGAAAUGCGAUACUUGGUGUGAAUUGCAGAAUCCCGUGAACCAUCGAGUCUUUGAACGCAAGUUGCGCCCGAAGCCAUUCGGCCGAGGGCACGCCUGCCUGGGCGUCACGC
rnacentral:rRNA from 1 species